AGCAGUCAGGAAGGUUGAGCCACCAGAAAGAGCACUAUCGGUUUUUCCCAAUCCCCAUCAACCCUGAAGAUGCCGAAUUUCAUUUAAAUGGUGAAAACGCAGCUCCACACCGGUGUGGCUCUGAGCGCGCUGCACAGCCAUCAGUGGCCUGCAGCCCCUGAAGGGGAGGGCGGGAGGAGGAGAUUACCUGUAUAUCACCGCCUGUCUUCCGAUCCUGUUCCUCACAAAAAUCCCCAUAAAGAAGAUGCCGAGGUGCAUGCUGUUGCCAUGACUGUCCUGCAGAAGAUCAGCAGAAGCCAUCUGUCACCACCAUGGCCUCAGCACACCACUCACAGUAGCCAAGGUCAUCCAGCCUGAGAGAGGGUAUUGUUAUCCCAAAUUGUCACAAAACACUGUGUUCGUCCCACUCUGAGGAAGGCUACUAAUUCCUGAAGAACCUGCUAGAAGAACCCACUGAAACUCUACAAAGCAGACAUCAGUGCUGGCUUCACUGGCCGCCCUUCCUACGGUACAGACAAUAAAAACAAACAAGCAGAUGGCUGCAGGACUGAGGUCCCAACUUCCAGGCGGGGAAGCUGGUUUGGUAGAAACGGAGAAAAGUUUGCUGCUUUCCAGUGACACAAAAUGUUAUGACCAUAUAUGGGGUGCUGUCAGCGGGCUGCAGAUGGGCUCGCCAGGCGUUACUGCAAGAUAAAUGGAUUGCAGCCCUACUAAGGGCAGCAUUAGAGAAGCAAAAGAAAAUUAAACAAGUCUAAAAAGAGAGCCGUUUAGCCCUCACCACGAGACACGGCCACCCUGCUUGCUUCUGUCUGACGCUCACAGGCCAUUCUCGUCAAGGCAAAUUGCAAGCAAGGAACAGAGCGGGAGCCAGAGUGAAGUACUGAAAUGGCAGGCGCACCCAGAUCGCUGGGACGGCCAGCUGCAGUGGGUCUCUGACAGCAUGCCUGACUUUUGAAGAGUUGGUCAGUAGAGAGGGGGAAAUGACUUUGGCUCCUGGGCUCCAUGAUGCUUCCAGCCACACCCACUCCGGGAGGUGAGGCAGUAACAACGGGUGUGAGGUGCUUUCAUGAUUUCCUAGGCAUGGUUUCCAGAGAGCACCCACCACACAGCUCUGCAGAGCUGGAGAAAUAAGACAUGGUUGCAUACUGGGGAUGCUUUAAUCUGCUUUGCCAGCCCCACAUCCAAAGAAGCGUGGAGAGAAACACAAGAAAAGCCCUAGCCUCUGUCACAUCCCCAGGACGCCUGCUGCUCGGCCUGCUUUAAGAAAGACAAGGUCUGGCCUUGAUUCUUUAAGGUGGGCGGCGCCGGUGCGUGGACUCAGAUGAAUGUCCUAGAACUGCACAUAUUCUGCUGAAGAUGAAACCCCAAGUCUCCGAGCUAAGAAGGUGUUCUCCUGAUCUAAAGCGAGUUCUUAACACCGCUGUGCUGGUUAGGAUGAGAAAUGUCCUUGUAAGCUCAUGGGUUAGAAAACGUCACCAACAGCUGGUAGAAGUGUUUGGGAAAGUUACAGAACCUUUUUAGGCAGCAGAACCUUGCUGGAGGAAACAGGUCACCAGGGACAGUCCUGAGGCCUCAUAGCCCACUCUGCUGCCUGCUGACUCUGCACACUGGUUGCUUAUGCAAUGCAACCCGCUGCCCCAGUGCCUUCUCCAGCACCAAAGGCUGAGCUAAGAUUGACCCUCCUCCUUCAAGUUGCUGCUUGUCCAGUCUCAGAGAAGAAAAAGUAACUAAUUCAUCCACUAAUGUCACAUGACCCUGAGAAGCGGAAGCCACUCUGGCCCAUGGCAUGAACUCUGAAAAUGUGCAGGGGCAGGGACCACCAAUUACCUUCACCGGGAAGACCUCCUGUCCAAAUCCAUCCAAACGCUCGACUUCGUUGAUAUACAUCAGUUCGGCUUCAGCUGGCAGGAUCCCGCUACAAUCCAAACAGCGCCACGGGAGGAAAUGGUUAGGAACACAAAACUGACCGGAAACCCUCAGUAGCCCAACGGAAACUCUAGAGCUGCAGCACUGGGGACGGCAAACCCUUCCACCAGGGAGCACGGUACCUUAUCAACUGUGGCACUGACAUUCAGCUGCCUUUUACUCAAC
rnacentral:lncRNA from 1 species